CAGUCGCCACGGGAACACGGAGGGAGCUAGCGUUGUUCGGAAUUACUGGGCGUAAAGCGCGCGUAGGCGGUUACUCAAGUCAGAGGUGAAAGCCCGGGGCUCAACCCCGGAACUGCCUUUGAAACUAGGUGACUAGAAUCUUGGAGAGGUCAGUGGAAUUCCGAGUGUAGAGGUGAAAUUCGUAGAUAUUCGGAAGAACGCCAGUGGCGAAGGCGGCUCACUGGACGACUGUUGACGCUGAGGUGCGAAAGCGUGUGGAGCAAACAGGAUUAGAUACCCCAGUAGUCCAUGUCUCUUAUAC
rnacentral:rRNA from 1 species